rnacentral:rRNA from 1 species
UACAGAGGGGGCAAGCGUUGUUCGGAAUUACUGGGCGUAAAGGGCGCGUAGGCGGCCCGCUAAGUCGAACGUGAAAUCCCCGAGCUCAACUCGGGAACUGCGUCCGAUACUGGCGGGCUUGAAUCCGGGAGAGGGAUGCGGAAUUCCAGGUGUAGCGGUGAAAUGCGUAGAUAUCUGGAGGAAUACCGGUGGCGAAGGCGGCAUCCUGGACCAUUACUGACGCUGAGGCGCGAAAGCCAGGGGAGCAAACGGG